rnacentral:lncRNA from 1 species
GCCACUAAAAGAUCUAUCCAUACACUUUCAGAAAGAUUUCUGUUGCAAUUUCGCAGAGUUGAAUGAUUUUUUGGCUCAAUGGGAGUUAAUAACGCCACAUGUUAUCUCUUGGGCAAGGCAAAAGACAAAUUUGAUGGUCAAGCAGAUGCUUGCUGAGCUUGAUAUGCAAGACAACCCUUCUAUAGGAAUUGAAAUGGAUUUUGCAUUGUUAUUACUCCCCUUUAUAAUUAAAGUACCAUCAAAGAAUAAAAGUUGUGCAUCAGCUGCUGAAGUUGCAGAACAUUUCAUUCAAUUUUAUC